UGGGAGCUGAUGGACCUGAGCAGAAAGAAGACACCUUUGACGUCUUCCGCCAGCGCAUGAUGCAAAUGUACAGACACAAACGGGCCAGCAAAUAGAUCAGAGCCACUGGCGACAGAGAUAAGCCUCGAAGCAGCCUUGCCCUUCCCGCCACCCUGCCCCGGACGCCUGCAACCUGAGCCUCGUUCCAGGGUCACAUCCACUAGGACCAUGGAUUCCAAAAGUUGUGCUGGCCUGACCUGGCCUGGCCUGGCCUGGCUCCGGUGUGCUCCUGUCCCUGGAUGUGCGUCGUGCAAGUUGAUUGUGUACCUGGUAAAAGCUAGAACACACGUGUGAUGUCACCACUUGGACGUAGCUGUAUUGUAAGGAUCUAAGAAGUCAUGGUGUUCGAUGUUGAGUGCUUGGAAUAAAUGAAGAGCAGUCCUGC
rnacentral:lncRNA from 1 species